ACAAGCCAUGCAUGCCCGCACACCCGGGAAGCGGCGGACGGCUCAGGACAACGGUUGCACCCCCCGCGGCGGUCCCUGCUAGCCGGACACCGCUGGCAACCCGGCGCCAAGACGUGCGCGCAAGUGCGGACGCCCGCGAG
rnacentral:rRNA from 1 species